rnacentral:rRNA from 1 species
CGGAUUNAAGGCUGAAAUUCGCCUUCAUGAAGCUGGAAUUGCUAGUAAUGGCAGGUCAGCAUACUGCCGUGAAUACGUUCCCGGGCCUUGUACACACCGCCCGUCACACCAUGAGAGUUGGGAAUACCCGAAGCCUGUGAGCUAACUUUUAGAGGCAGCAGUCGAAGGUAGAAUCAAUGAUUGGGGUGAAGUCGUAACAAGGUAUC